CCUCCUUCCAAAAGUCAUUUUCGAUGCAAGAGAGAGCACAAGUCUCUGAAACUUCUCUCUCCAUCACAACCUUGACUAUUCUCCAUUGAAAACCGUCCAACCUCUGCUUCCAUUCAGAGUCGGCCAACAAGAAUGUCCAGGGCUCCAAUACUCAUCAAGGAUCUGGUCCACGAAAGUCAAGUUAGGAAGAUGCUGAUAAGGGUUGUUGAUUUAUGGGUUGUUAAGGAAAAAACAGGACAUAGGGAUUGAUUAUGCACUUGCCAAUGGUGAAUCCCCGCCAAAAGCCAAUGAACUGUCUACCUUGAUGAAACAGAUGUAUCAAAGAAACACAGAUGAACUAUCACUGGCACUGUUAACUAAGGAUAAAUUGGUAAAUUUUUUCAUGAAAUGUAACCCACCAAGGAAUGCUCCAGCACUGUGCCUAAAAUUAUUUUGGAGCAUUUGUUUAAGUUAUCGAUUUCACGAAGUUUUCUCUCCAAAUCUGUUUGUUUUUUAAUUCUUGAUGAAUUUCAAUUCUCAUCACAAAUUAAAUUUUAGUCCUAUACCACUAUGCCAUAAAGAGUCCACUUGAGAUUUAUAUGAGCCAUGCUGUGUUUGUCUAGAAUCUGGAGUCAUGUAUCCCAACAUUACUUAAGCUAUGAAUUUAUUUCCUUUAUUUCACAGACUAUGUGGAUCUGAUUUUUCAUAUGCAGAGUUUACAUAUUUUAUAACCUCAUUAUUUAUUUGUCAUUAUCUAUAUGGCUUAUUUUCUUACCUUCAUAUUCAGCUGUUUUGAUUACUUAUGAAGACACUAAUUAGAUCAUAGCUUGCCUACAAUUGUUUUAGUCAAAACAUUGAGAUUCAUUUUGCUGCAUCCAAACUGUUUCAAAUUGCAAUUUCCUUUGUCAAAUAUGAAAGUCAGUAGAUAUCUUAAGAAAUUUGUUGGCUGGAUUUUCUUAUUUGUCACAAUUUGAAGCCAUUUAUGAAAUUAAUAUUAGUAGUACAAUCAAAGUCAAUAUAGUAAUAGAAUGAGGGAUUGUAUUACAAACAACAUACUACUCUUUGUAUCAUACAUAUUUUCUCUUCUCAAGUAUUCUUUCUAUAUAUUGUUUGUGUUUCAUGAAUUAGGGAGUUUUGUAAGAAACCAAAAACCCGUUGGAACACGCAUCUUCGCCUAACCUGUUCUUAGGAAUUCUAAAGUGACCAACAAUCAGCAUCACCUUUUAACAUAGUCCAGCAUUUUGGGAAACACUUGAGUAUAAUGUCACUUCAACCUUAAAUGCUAAGAAGACUUCCCCACGAUUUUCAGCUGAACAGCCGACUUACACUUUCAUGAGCAAGAGCAGACUGCUACUUUUUUAUUUCCCAGCACUCUCUUUCCACAAUUAUGCUUUUUAUUUACCUUAGUUACCUUAGUGAAUGGAUUACAUCUUGACUCAUCACACUAUCUAGAUGAAAGCAAUACAAUGCUGUCAACUAUGUAUUCCGAAUUGUUGAAGAGCUAAAUUGGACUUUUGUUAUAUUAUAUUUAUGCAGCACCACCCAUUUUUUAAUUAUUGUUAAUUAAAGUUUUAGUUUGCUGAACCUAUUAUAUAUAUACCUUUCUUUAUCCAACAGUUUUGACAGACAGGUUGAAAAGUAGGUUGUACAUUUUCCAUGAAUUGUCAAUUCUUUACAUAAAAUAAUGUUAAUUUCCUUAUGUAUGGUCCAAGUUAGCACACUGCGGUUUUUUAUUAGAAUUGCAGUCUCUUUCCACAAUUAUAAUUUAAUAUGAAUUGUUUGCUUCCACACCCAAAGCUAAAUGCUUGGUUUGUAAUCGUUAACUUCCUGAUUUUGAAUUUAUGCAGACUGUUUUAUUUGAACCUGGUAAUACCGAACUUGGCCUUGCUUUUGUUGCAGCAACUAAGGAGUAUACACUAAUAGUCACAAUGCCUGCCUCCGCAAAUAUUGAGAAGAGAAUUCUUUUACGCUCAUUUGGCGCAGAGGUUGUGUUGACGGACUUAGAUAAAGGGCUGAAAGGGGCUAUUGACAAAGCUAAAGAAAUUGCCAACGCCACACCUAACGCUUACAUGUUUCGACAGUUUGAUAACAACAAUAUGCAAAGGUUAAUUAUCAAUCCAUCUUAAAUGAGACCUUCACCUUUUAUUUACCAGUGUUUUAAAUUUUAUGGCCUGAGGAUAGAAGUUAGACAACACAUUAAUUAUGAAACUAUACAUUUUCUGAGUUUGUUGUAUGCUGUGAACAUGCAAGCUGGUUUUCUUUUGGAAUUUUUGUGACUUACAAGCAUUCUGGUUUUGAGGGUUUUAUAAGAGACAAGUGAACAAUACUUCUUGACACACACGAAAGGAUGCUGGCAACAUAAAUAAACUGCCCUGUGAAGGUAAUUUUCUUUUCUGACACUUUUCUUAGAAAAUUUUAAUUAACAAGAAGUACAAUCUAAGUUGGCUUCCCGUAAGCUAUGUAGACGAAUUAUAAGAUUAAAAUCAAACUCCUCAAUCUUUCAGAAGCUGAUUUUGUAUGUUUAAUUAUUGAUAAAUUUCAUAACAAUGUCUAGAAAUGUCAUCAUUCAAAAACUAUAAGAUGGAGGUUUGUACCACACCAUCCAGAAAAUGAAAUCACUUCACUUUUGUUUUUAUCUUUAACUUGGAAAAUUGAAUUCAUAUUCCUAAAUUGAAUGUGGCUGUAGGUAUUCAUAUGAAUCAGUAUAUAGUGUCCCUUUGAAGCCCUUUUAUUGUACUAACAAGCACCUGGAUAUGAAAAGAGUUAUGCUUGACACAAUUUUUGGACCUCCAAAAAGACAAACUUGAUGCAUAUGAUAUGCUAUAGUAAUGUUGUGACUGAGAAUUAUAUGUUAUGCUUCAGGUUUCCUUUUAUAGUUUCUAUUCAACUAAAGAAGCUAAAUAUUCAUUUUAUACCAGUUAACCUCUUCCAUUCUGUGUAUUCUCCAUAAGCAUGAGUUGAUUUUGAGUGGUUUCUAAAUUCCUAAUUACCAAUCCCUUUAUCUAAGAAAUCAAUCAAUAGUUUAGAAUUCAUUUAUUUUUUAUUUGUGUGCCCACAGUUUGUCCACAGCUUGCAAUUUAAUAAUAGUUCAGAAAUUGAUGCAAUUAGAAAAGUUGAAAACAGGGUUGAAGUUUCUAAGUAUUAUGAGAGGUAGCAAUCAUUAUUCAAUAGAAGCAAAGUUAUAUUGGUUGACAUGUUCGAAUAUUAUUAUACUUAUAUUUCUAUUAGGUUGAUUUUAAUUUGUGUUUUGGAUGAAUAAAAAUGAUGAUAGGGUCUUAAAAAAAAGCAACGUAGAGGAGCUUCCAAUAAUUAUAUAGCCAAUUAGCUUUCCAACUCACGGGUCACUAUCUGUAUAAUAUUUAUAUUAUUUCAAUAAUCAUCUAUAUUUAUUUUCACGGGUCACUAAUUGUAUAGAUAAAAUUAUUAUAUUCAAAUUGCAAAGUUUCCUUUUGUUGUUGGACCGUCAAUUAUUUAAUUCAAUACUUUGUCUUAUUUUUCUAUUGUGUUCUUGACUUAUUUUAAACUUUUUUUGUGGAAUAUUAUUUUAAUUUAGAACCUAAUUUUCAUACUAUUAAUAUCUUAUUAGUAAUUUUUUAAAUGGUUCAUUUCUGUUUUAUAUAUGCAAUUAGGUCAAAGUUCUUUACUUCACAUUUUUCAUAUCGUUUAAAAAAUACUACACCACAAAUAAUGCACCCGUGCGGCAGCACGGGUUUCUGGCUAGUUUAUGCUUUAAUGAAGAUGAAUCUUCACAUUAAAAGCAACAACAGUUAGUUGUUUGAAACUUUUCUUCAUUUCAUGCAUGUAAUAUUUUGGUUGUAGAGGGUUGAGAACCAAUUAAAUUAUUUUACUCGUGGUCUUCACUUGCAAUAUGAAGAGAAAUGGUUGAUAACUCUUUGGACAAAAAAGACAGACUCUACCAUGCUCAUUGUACAGGAUUCUUCAAACUCUUUUUCUGUUUUGAACAAACUAUAUCAAUUCGCAAGAUCAUGUAGUGAAAUAUUAACUAAUGGUUUCAAUUGAAUAUAUAGAUAUUGUCAUAAACAUUUAAGUGAUUAUCCUAACAUAUGUUGGUAUAAUUAAAGGGUGAAAACAACU